GUGCCUAAUACAUGCAAGUCGAACGAGAACGGGUCUAGCUUGCUAGAUUGUCAGCUAAGUGGCGCACGGGUGAGUAAUGCAUAGGUAUGUGCCCUAUAGUCUAGGAUAACAGUUGGAAACGACUGCUAAUACUGGAUAUUCCCUCUGGGGGAAAGAUUUAUCGCUAUAGGAUCGGCCUAUGUCGUAUCAGCUAGUUGGUGGGGUAAGAGCUCACCAAGGCGAUGACGCGUAACUGGUUUGAGAGGAUGAUCAGUCACACUGGAACUGAGACACGGUCCAGACUCCUACGGGAGGCAGCAGUAGGGAAUAUUGCACAAUGGAGGAAACUCUGAUGCAGCAACGCCGCGUGGAGGAUGACGCAUUUCGGUGUGUAAACUCCUUUUAUAAUAGAAGAUAAUGACGGUAUAUUAUGAAUAAGCACCGGCUAACUCCGUGCCAGCAGCCGCGGUAAUAC
rnacentral:rRNA from 1 species